GCGCAGGGCGUUGGGUGGUCUUUGCGUCAUUCGGUUGGAGAAAGUAAUUUGCAGGGAUAGAUUCGGAUUCGCUUCUUCUCAGUGGAGAUUAAACCCCCUUAAUUAUCUCCUCGAGGGAUAUUAGAGAGGGUCUGCAGGGCAGCGCGGUAGCCAGCAGCCAGCCACCAUUUACAGAUUUGCAGAGUCUCUCUGGCAUGCCCUGCUCCGUGGCUGUGCAUUGGCUGGGUGGGCCAACACAAGAACCUAGCGUCACUGAAAUUUCCUUCGGAUACUUCUGCAAUGUUCUUAAAAACGGCAAGUGAAGAGCAUUCAAGAGUUUGUCGUGCCACUGCAGAGAGUUUUGGAAAUCAAACCUGCUGUUGGAGAAGACAGAGGGAAGUGGAGGCAUGCUUAACGUUGGCAUCAGUGGAAAUGUAGUUCAGAAGAAUCUACUUCAUCAUCUCCCCCAGACUCCUAACACAGCAUAAAAAAGCCCUUUAGAUUGUAGAAGAAGCAGCUAGAAGAAGCUAGAAGACUCAACUACAGGAAGAGGAUCAGCUUUCUUCAAGGUCACUGCAAUAACAGGCUAUUAGUUGAAUUAUACACGGGAAUAAUAGUUCAAGAAAAAAUAGAUAAAGGCAGCAAAUAACUU